CGUCUACCUCGUGUCGAGUAGGACGGGACACGUGAAACCCUGUCUGAAACCGGAGGGUCCACCCUCCAAGGCUAAAUAUGUCUUAUGAUCGAUAGUGAACAAGUACCGUGAGGGAAAGGUUAAAAGAACCCCGAGUAGGGGAGUGAAAUAGAACCUGAAAUUGUGUGCGUACAAGGAGUCGGAGCCCUUCGACUCGACAUUUCAUAUCUCGCUCAGGGUGAACCCGCCUCGACUAAACAGGUUGAGACGGGCUUGCCCCGAGCGAGCAAUUUAUGGAAUUGCGAGUCGAGGGGUGACGGCGUGCUUUUUGUAGAACGAUCCAGCGAGUUAUUUUACGUCGCGAGCUUAAGCCAUUUGGCGGAGGCGUAGUGAAAGCGAGCCUUAAUAUAGGGCGAAUAGUGGCGUGAAGUAGACCCGAAACUGAGUGACCUAACCAUGGGCAGGCUGAAGCGUGCGUAAAAGCACGUGGAGGGCCGCACCGUAGCGAAUUGCAAAACGCCCGGAUGACCUGUGGUUAGUGGUGAAAUGCUAAUCGAACUCAGAGAUAGCUGGUUCUCCUCGAAAUAGCUUUAGGGCUAGCGUCGUACGGUAACACGCAGGGGUAGAGCUCUGUUUUGGACUAGGGUCCGUAAGGAUACCUACCCUUGACAAACUACGAAUACUGCGUGCGGAACUACGGCAGUUAGAACGGCGGGGCUAAGCUCGUCGCUCAAAAGGGAAACAGCCCAGACCAUCAUCUAAGGUCCCCAAAUAUAUGCUCAGUGGGAAACGAGGUGAGAUUUCUCAGACAAUAAGGAUGUUGGCUUAGAAGCAGCCAUUCAUUUAAAGAGUGCGUAACAGCUCACUUAUCGAGAGAUCUUGCGCGGAAAAUGUAACGGGGCUAAAGCAUAUUACCGAAGAUAUGGAUGCUGUGUGUGGCACAGAAUGCUCAAUUAACAAUGCUCAUUGCUCGAUGAAUGUAUAAAUGCAGAAAAUGCAGCAAUCAUUGACCAUUGACCAUUGAAACUUGAACAUUGAACAUUGAACAUUGCGUGCUACGCAUGGUGUGGUAGAGGAGCGUUGAUAUUGCAUCGAAGUCGAACUGUAAAGUUUGGUGGAGCGGUAUCAAGUGAGAAUGCUGGAAUGAGUAACCUCAAGGAGGGUGAGAAUCCCUCCCACCGAAAGAGCAAGGUUUCCUGGGCCAUGAUAAUCAUCCCAGGGUUAGUCGGUCCUAAGCCGAGGCGAAAGUAGCGUAGGCGAUGGACAACGGGUUAAUAUUCCCGUACCGGCGUGUACUUGUUUGUAGAUGCGCGGCAUGAUAACAAAAGCGGAUUCAUGGUUAUAUCCGUCUAACUGGUCUAACGGGCCAGGAAUGAAACGUACCCUUCGGGGCGCGAAUUUUUGUGAAAGUACUGACCAGAAAAGUUUACAAGCUUAUGGUACAAGUUGACCGUACCGCAAACCGACACAGGUGCUUAAGGGCGAGUAGCCCA
rfam:Bacterium G20 isolate G20 NODE_59_length_1472_cov_11144.2, whole genome shotgun sequence.